UCCUGUGCUGAUCACUGGGGAAGGCAUGUGUCACCCAGAGGAAGCGCUGUCAGGCAAUGUGACAUCUCCUGUGUCUCUGCAAAACGUCCUCGACUCCCUCUGAGCUGGGCUGCCUGGCUUCCCCAGCACAGCCCGGGGCCCAGGCGUCCGCUGAAGGGAGCUUUCUCUUCCCUGGGUCUCUGGAAGAUGCCUCUUCUCCCAUUCAUCUUGUCAUUUUCUUGGAAAAACAAACGCGACAGCUGUCACCACCUUGAUGAAGAGGAAAGAGAUCAACAGAGAUAGGUUCAGCAGAUGGUGAUCACAACUUGGUCUGGUGGUCACCACAGCCAGAGUGUGAGUCUGGAGAGAGCCCUGGACUCUCCAUGUCACGAGAGAUGCCAUGGGUACCAGGCAGGUAGCACACUCAUCCCCUGUGGGCAUGAGAAUGGUCAUCGUGGCUGCCCUUUGAAUUGUCAGCUGUGGAGGACAGAAGAAGGCAGUAUGAGUCAUGGCAUUUCACUGCCCUGGAGGCUAAGCUCUCCUCCCGCAGGCUGAUUGCAUCCUCAGCAGGGCAGAAGCUCUUCAGUUUGAUGUAGUCCCAUUGGUCUGUUUUUGCUUCCGGAGACUUAUCCAAAGAAUCUUUGCUCAAACUGCAGGAACGAAGCUUUCUUGUGUAAUUUUUUUUUUUUUUUAGCAGCUUUAGAAUUUUGAGUCCUACAUUAUAAGUUGUUGAUUCAUUUUGAGCUGCACUUGUAUGGCUAUUGAGAAAUUUUUAUCUUUUUUCUUUUCCCUUCCUUCUCCUAUCCUUUUCCCUAUCCAAGUUAUUUUUCCCCUUUGAGCAGUUUCCUACUUUUUCACAAUAUUUAUUGAAGAUUUUGUAUCUUAUUUAGUCUUUCAGCUUUUUACACUAGGGAGACAAUGUGGUAUUUACAUAUGUGAGUCUGAUUUAGUUCACUUAUAAGCAUGGUCUCAAGUUGCAUCCAUUUACCUUCUUUAUAGCUGAGUAUUCUCCACUGUAUAAAAAUACUGUAUCUUGAGCUAGGCGUGAUGGCUCAUGCCUGUAAUCCCAGCACUCGGGAGGCUGAGGUGGGAGUAACGGUGCGAGUUCGAGACCAGCCUGGGCUACAAAGUGAGCUCAAGGCCAGCCUGAACUGCAUAGCGAGACCCUGUCUCAAAAAAGACAAAAAACAAAACAAAACAAGGCAAAAACAAAAACAAACAAACAAAAAAACCCCCUACAUCUUUUUUUUAUCUGCUUUGCAGUUGAUGGGAAGGCUCUGUCUUUCACUUGUAGUCACUUCAAAUUCUUUUCUCAAUGUUUUUAUUGUAAAAAUCUUUCUUUGGUUAAAUUUGUUUCUAAGUACUUUGUUUUUGUAGCUGCUGUGUCAUUGUUUGCUUGAGUUUCUUUUCAGGUUCACUAUUAAUGUAUAGAAACAUCGAUUCUUGCAUGCUGCUGUCAUAUCCUGUAACUUUGCUGAAUUCAUUUAUUAGUCUGGAUCGUUUUUUGGUGGAGUCAUUAGAGUUUUCUAUAUGUAAGAUUAUGUUGUCUGUAAAGAGGGAUCAUUUGACUUUUCUCCAAUUUAGAUCUUACUUCUUUCUCUUGCCUUAUUGCUUGGGCUCAGGAUUCUAUUACUAUGCUGAAUAGAAGUGAUAACAGAUGGCAAGAUAAUAGUAAAGGAGAUUCAGCACCCCACCUUCUGCAAAGGACAUACAUCAAGAAAGAAAGUCUAAAAAGAGAUGUUGGCUGUAAAAUGCAUACCAGACAUUUGUAAACAUUUCGUUCAACAGCUUCAGGACACACAGUUUCUCAGCUACCCAUGGAACAUUCUCAAGGAUGGAUAAAAUGGCAAGGCACAAAACAAGCCUGAACACAUUAAAAAGUCAAGAUAAUGUUAAAUAUCUUCGCUUUUUGCAAUGGAAUAAAACUAAUAUUAAUAACAAGAAAAACUUUAGAAAAUUUGCAAAUACCCAAAAAUUAAACAACAUACUUUAAGCAAAUAAUGGAUCAGUGAAAAAAUUAAAAGCGAAUUAAAAUAAACUCUUUAGACAA